CGGAGUGGACGCAUCACUGGUGUUCGGGUUGUCAUGCCAAUGGCACUGCCCGGUAGCUAAAUGCGGAAGAGAUAAGUGCUGAAAGCAUCUAAGCACGAAACUUGCCCCGAGAUGAGUUCUCCCUGACCCUUUAAGGGUCCUGAAGGAACGUUGAAGACGACGACGUUGAUAGGCCGGGUGUGUAAGCGCAGCGAUGCGUUGAGCUAACCGGUACUAAUGAACCGUGAGGCUUAACCUUAC
rnacentral:rRNA from 1 species